rnacentral:rRNA from 1 species
UGAGGAAUAUUGGUCAAUGGACGAGAGUCUGAACCAGCCAAAUCGCGUGAAGGAAGACUGCCCUACGGGUUGUAAACUUCUUUUGUACAGGAAUAAAAGACAUUACGUGUAAUGUAUUGCAUGUACUGUACGAAUAAGCAUCGGCUAACUCCGUGCCAGCAGCCGCGGUAAUACGGAGGAUGCGAGCGUUAUCCGGAUUUAUUGGGUUUAAAGGGUGCGCAGGCGGGAUUUUAAGUCAGCGGUGAAAUUUUCAGGCUCAACCUGAACACUGCCGUUGAAACUGGGAUUCUUGAGUAGGGAUGAAGUAGGCGGAAUUCGUUGUGUAGCGGUGACAUGCUUAGAUAUAACGAGGAACUCCGAUUGCGUAGGCAGCUUACUAAGCCAUAACUGACGCUCAAGCACGAAAGCGUGGGGAUCAAACA